rnacentral:rRNA from 1 species
CGAGUCUAUGGACUUCGGUCCAUGGCGGACGGCUCAGUAACACGUGGUUAGCCUACCCUUAGGNGGGGGAUAACCUUGGGAAACUGAGGAUAAUACCCCAUAGGAAAAGAGGUUUGGAAUAAUCCUUUUCUGAAAGGACAUCCGCCUAAGGAUGGGACUGCGUCUGAUUAGGUAGUUGGUGGGGUAAUGGCCCACCAAGCCUACGAUCAGUACGGGCCUUGAGAGAGGGAGCCCGGAGAUGGGGACUGAGACACGGCCCCAGGCCCUACGGGGCGCAGCAGGCGCGAAACCUCCACAAUGCACGAAAGUGCGAUGGGGGAAUCCCAAGUGCCUAUGUAAAACAUAGGCUUUUCCCAAGUUUAAACAACUUGGGGAAUAAGGGCUGGGCAAGUCCGGUGCCAGCAGCCGCGGUAACACCGGCGGCCCAGUGGUAGCCACUCUUAUUGGGCCUAAAGCGUCCGUAGCC